GUUUUUCCCGUUCAUGACAGCUGACUCUUAUUCAACCAUCACAUCAAUCAUUGAGCUUUGAUGUCAUGUACGCCUGUUUACUUGUGACAUCAGACAUAUAGGCUUCACCUUUACCAUACCUGUACCCAUACCAUGUGAUUUAUCGUUGGGUUACCUGUAAUCAUGCCAGCAGGAACAGGUAACAGUCGUCCUAUUAUACUAUCUGAUAAACACGGAAGGGUGAUUCAAGAAUCGUACGUCCAGGUAGUUGUGAAAUGAAAGAGGAAUAGGUUAAUUAUGUGCACUAUAUUGCACCUUUUACAUGUGCAUUGUUCAGUGUCAUGUUCAGAAAAACCUAUUCUGUAGUAUCAUGAAUGUUCUACCUGUCACAGGUAAAUGGAAUACACAUGUAAUGUGUCCCUGGAACACCCUUCCAUCCUCCUGUACUUUCGAAUGUCUGUCAUGAAUGUUCAGGUGUCACAGGUAAAUAGAAUACACAUGUCAUGUGUCCCUGUAACACCCUUCCACCCUCCUGUACUUUCUCAUGUCUGUCAUGAAUGUUCAGGUGUCACAGGUAAAUAGAAUACACAUGUAAUGUGUCCCUGGAACACCCUUCCACCCUCAUGUACUCUCUCAUGUCUGUCAUGAAUGUUCUACCUGUCACAGGUAAAUAGAAUACAUAUGUAGAGCCAUCCUUUGUACCUGGAACACUCUUCCACCCUCCUGUACUCGGUCAUGUCUGCAGAAUGAUGAAUGUUCUGCCUGUCACAGGUAAAUAGAAUGCACAUGUAGUGCCAUCCUGUGUCCCUUGAACACCCUUCCGCCCUCCUCUGUUUGGUCAUGUCUGUAGAAUCAUGAAUGUUCAGGUGUCACAGGUAAAUAGAAUACGUAUGUAGAGCCAUCCUGGGUCCCUGGAACACCCUUCCACCCUCCUGUAUGCUGUCAUGUCUUUUGCAUUAUUAAACAGUAUAUAGUGUCCAGUGUCCGUUGAGCACCCCACCCUCGCCUGUAUUCUGUGGAAUCAUAAGCAUUCACCUGUCACAGGUGAUGAGUAUACAUGUGUGGUGUCCAUUGAAAAUGCCCCUCCCCUCACAUCCACCCCUGUGUAUUUUUUAGUAUCAUGAAAAGUCACUUGUCACUGAUAAAUUUUUUGCAAGUUUACCCAGUGCUGCAUGAAUGACUUACGCCGGCAGUGCCGCUUAAUAUGAGGGCAGGUAUGUGUAUCUCUCUAUAGUUACAUAUAAAAAAAAACUUGUUUGUGAUGGAAAUCAGUAGGUAUGCAAGCGCACAAAAAUAAACCGAUGCAUUGUUUUGUGGACGGAUCUUUCAUAUGCACAUGCAUGAGUAUAAACAAAGAUUAGCUGUAUUUAUGCUUUAAGGAUGUAGAUUUGCAAAAUUGGACUUGUAUGCAUAUUUCUUACUGAAACAGUGAGGUUGUUUCCAUGGUGACCUGGUGUUAAAUAUUGGACCUAUCUCUGUAGUGAUGCACAUGUUGUGUUCGGGUUACAUAUGUGGUACCAUUGAGGAGCUUUAACACCUUUACAUCGUUAAUUUCAGCAACUUCAGGUCACUGGUCCAUUCUAACCAAGGCUAGAAAAUUAGAGGUUUGCGUAAUUUAGAGGUUUCAGAAUUUACCAUGAGAUACGCAAAUGAAUAUAUGAAUAUAUGAAUUGUAUUGUUAUUUUUCACUGCAUGUAAAUUGGCACAAGUAUGCAUUAAUUUUGAAUAAUCUGAAAAUAUUCGUACAUUGCAUUUUCACAAACACUUAUUUUUUCUUUUACUUACUACUUGAGUGAAACAUUUGUUAAUGCAAUGAGAAGAAUGUGACAUUCAACAUUAUUGAUUUGUCUGAAUGUACAGUUAACAGGUAAUACAAGGAGAAGACUAUAACAUUUGACAUUAUUGAUUUGUCUGAAUGUACAGUUACCAGGUAAUGCAAUGAGAAGACUAUAACAUUUGACAUUAUUGAUUUGUCUGAAUGUACAGUUACCAGGUAAUGCAAUGAGAAGACUAUAACAUUUGACAUUAUUGAUUUGUCUGAAUGUACAGUUACCGGGUAAUGUUGCAUGCUAUUCAUGCUUUGUUAGUGCAAAUUUACGAUGAUAGUUUCGAAGUAUGAGCACAUGUUUCUCUGUUAAUGUGUACGUAAGACACACAUGUAAUAGCCAGCAUAAAGCAGUUUUAUUCCUCUGUAAUCGUGUGAUGUAUAUACGUGUAGUUCGGAUAAGUAUCAUUUAUGUCAGCAUGAAAAAUUUUGAUGGGUACAGGGAAUCCCGAAUUAAAGUUAGAAAUAUUGUACAGAUCUGCCGUGCUAGUAUUCAUUAUUGUCUUUUUUUUAUAUAUACUUUUUAUUGCGUUAACUUUGAUGAUAUAAACCUUGGGUGUAAGGCGUCAGAUGUUCAUUUUUUAGUUGAUCAUUGGGCUGUAAUCUUUAUAUACCCAUGUCCAGGUAUGGUGCCAGUGUUUUAGUGCAUAUAUUUGUUUAAACAAAGAUUUCAUUUUAUGUUGAAAGUACAGUACUUGUAUUUCUGCUUGUGCAAAAGAGGUUUUUUUCAGUAGUUGAAUCAAGAGUUAUAAUUAAACAAGCAAGUUGGCUUGUUUUUUGUAACCACCAGGAAUCUUUUUAACUUUGUAAUUUAAAUUUCUGACUUUGUUUAAAAGUGCUGUUUAAUGUUAACCUCAGAACCAUCUGGAUUUUGUGUUGUUUCUGUAUUUGGAUAUUUGUGUGUGUUUGGUAAUAUUAUUACACUUACAGGCAUUUGCCUUGGGUAUAUGAACACCGCAAGUGAAUGGUGAGAAGAUUUAUGCUUCCGGAUGUAUUAAUAUUUCAAUCUUCACAGACAAUGGAGCUCUUCUUUACCCUCCACACAUACAAGUGACAUAAAAAGUUCUGGUUAUUAUCGUAUAAGCGAAAAAAUGCAGUCGCUGUGAGUUCAUGCCCAACUCAUGUUGGCUCCCUCUCUGGCUGUACAUCUAGAAGGUCUGUCAGCAACUUGCCGGUGGUCAUGGAUUUCUUCUGGCCAGUUUCCUCCCGCCAUAAUGCUGGCUGCCGUCGUGUAAGUGAAAUAUUCUUGAGUA